rnacentral:lncRNA from 1 species
UUGUCUCAAUAUGAUAGCCAUUCCGGCGUAUAUCUUUAAAACUCAACAAGUUUCUCUUAGACUUGGAGGAGAACAUUGCAUUCUCUAUGAUAAACAUAGUGCCUUUGGGCAGAGUUACAGUUGCUCUUCCGGAGCCUUCAAUCAAUUUACUACUACCAGAGAUUGUAGUAUCAUUUGCCUUACACAUAUUUAGUUGAGAGAAAUAUUCCUUUUCUUUGAGUAUCGUAUGUGUAGUACAUGAAUCAACUAAACAAAUACUUUUACAGCUGGACGUUGAUCCAAGCUUGCUUUGUGAGAUAUCCAUAUUUGCUUUCCCAUGGUUUGACAUACAAAAGAAAUACACGAAUCAUGAGAAUAAACAACUUCAAUUCGUUUGUUUCACAUUUAAACAAUAUUUUGGGAAGCAGUCAUUUAGGAUA